rnacentral:lncRNA from 1 species
AGCCCCAAAUGUCCGUGGAACCGGCCCCACUAACCUGCAUCCAGCUGCCUCUUCCACCUGGGCCCUGCUCUCAGAUGGAAGUGUCACCAAACACCCAGAUCGCCGUGCUCCUGCUUCUCUGGAGUGGACACAACCUGAAAACCAACUGGACUGAGCAUCCUUCUCCUAAAAUCUCAGCCAGAAGCCACGAUGGAGGGUCCUGGGAAGGGAAGAGAUGUGAAGAUUUCUGUGAUUCUAAAACCUUGGGUCUGCCUGCAAACUUCUCUCUGAUCCCAGCCGAGAGCUGUGCACACGCUAGCUAGCCCUGUCACACAAUAGCCCAGUGUUCCCGUCACAGUGCCUGGGAAUGAGAGGCUUUUGAGGCCACAGAGCUAUGACAAGUCCCCAGGUUGAAUUGACUCUGGGAGGACAAAUUUCUGAGAGACUCACGGGACCCUUAUCCAGGACAACCUCACAAAGAUCCCUGAAACUGAGCUUCCUCUGCUUCGUGCAUAGUUUGAGGUAUAAACUUUCCUUGUGUCUCGGUCAGAUGAAGUGAAGGAUGAAUAUUAUCCCAGGCUAAAGUAACGAAAAGUCCAGAAGCCAGCGAUGACAGAGAUGUGUGUGGAAGAAGGCUGUGAGCAUUUCCAUCAAACCCUGUGAGUUUCCGAAGAUCUUAUCCCGAAGAUAUGUGUUUGGCCAAUAAAACACUGAAUAAAAAUCCAUCAUGUUUCCAGAGCCAAGUCGACUUCUGCUGGGCUGGGGUGAGGCAGAGGCAGAAUCAGACCUUAUAAAGAUGUUUUGAAUAGCGGCUGUUCUGGGAUCGCAGCCCAGUGACAGUGAAUGCUUUCUGAGUUCUCGGAUGAGAAGGAACAGAGUGACAGACUGACCAUAACUGGCCACUGUGGUGUGUGCUCAGCUCCAGACCAGCACCUUAUUUGGUGGGGGGAGAGGGUUCAAGGCCCCAGCGAGACAGUGAGUCCUGGUAGGGAAGGAACUCUGGCCAAGCUGCAGGCUGUGCAGUGGAGUGGGUUAGGAGGGGCCCUCGGGGAGGGAAGAACAAGGAGAGAGGGAAGUGAGAGGAAAGGAGGUUUCUCCUUCAUCUAAAUCCCAAGUAUACACCCUUCUAAGGUCUGUUCUGGCCCUUCCCUAGGGAGUGCCUUCCCCUCUACCUGCCAGGUCCCAUAGAUAAGGAUGUCCUCCCCUGCAGGCGCCUGGCCUCCAUCACAGCAUGCCCACUCUGUGCCCGCUGCAACCUCCUCUGACUCUCCCACUAGACCGGUGCCUGGUACACAUGCUCCUGCGUGCAUGAACAUCGGUCAGCUAUGGGUCCUCAAGAUGACAAAACCCCCUGCUCCUGUGUCCUCACGGGGAUCUGCACCAGCACUGGGCUGAACACUCUCCCUGCAAUCUGUCAGUCACGUCUUCUGUAGCAUUUUCUUUCUGGCAACAACGGUUGGGGUCAUUAAAAGUGUCUUUGAAAUGCAACCUUUUAAUUACAGGAGGAAUACUGCCCCUGGGAAGGGGCCUUUCUUCAAAUGCUCCAGGAAUUCCUUGGCCAAUACACUCCAGGGGGAACACAGCCCAAAACGGGCCUGUGGCUGUGAUCAGACCCAGGCAUCCUGUCAAAACAGGAGCCUGGGAAGGGGAAGCUCAGGGAAGGAAAGGGGCUCCUCUUGGGAAGAGCAGGGGUGCUGGAGGAAGAAACCCACCCAGUCCCCUUUGGGCCUAACUUAAGAUAUGCUCACCGGCUCUCUAGCACGCAGUUUUCCCCAGGAGGUCCCUUGGCCAUGACCCAAAGUUAGGAACUAGGGGUCUGCGGACGCCUCCUCCUCCCAUAUCAGAAUAUGCUCUCCACCGCCUGCACGGUGGCAUUGGCUUUCUGGAGCUUUAGGGCCAGCAGGGGCAGCAACCAUCUUCCCACGUGUCUCAGGCUGACUGCACACAGCUCCUCUCUUUGUUUUCAGAAGCCAAAAAGAGCCAGGCAGGCCAAAGCGGGAAAAGGGGGGGCUUCUAGGAAACACCUGGGGUGGCUGGGCAGAGGUGAGAUGUGACCCUGGCUAGCCUGAGGGCUCCCUGUGGCUUUCGAUGGCCAGCCUGUGAUAAAGCCCUGAGAACUCCAUCUCCUGUGAUUUUCCUGGGGUACUGAUUUUCCCCUCCCUGGGAGUCUAGGUGUUUGUUUAUAAUAUCCAAGAAUGCUAAUUGAGAUCAAAGUGACUCUGAAGUUCACCCUGGGGGUGCUGCAGUCUGAAAGGUGUUUUGCAAAGACACGAUCUUGGUUAGCCCUUCCCUGGCGCUAUGCUGCAGGAAGCUUCUCACAGGGAAUAGUCCACACUGUAAUCUACCUCAGGCAGGUGUGCUGCUGGGAAACUCAGUUAAUGAUGUCUAAUCUUUAAGAGCCAUGGGAAACUCAGGAAGACCUAGCUGGACAGAUACUACUCAGACAUUUUCUCAAAUAAGUGUGGCAGAGCCACUCCUCAUCUGGUUCUUCCAGUCUUAGUUACCUGCCGAGCCAGGUGUGGCAGGUGUCAGGUACAGGGAUCUGGGAGCUCAGAGAGCAGUAGCAGGAGCUUUAGGCUUCAGUUUUUUCUCCCACUUGAUGGCCCCAGACGCCUUGGUGAAGUGAAAUGCUCCCUGCCUGGGGCUCCAGGAUGCCUUCGAGUGACUGCCUUAAGGUUAUUGUGUUUUCUUGUGGCUACGCCAGGAUGUUCUGCUUCACCAAGCAUUUCCAUCCUCAAUCGUCAUGUCCCUACUGAAACUCUGUGUUCUCUUCUCAAGCAAUUUUCUGGUAAAAACAUUUUCCUGGCUAGCCUGUAAGCAUUGCUGUCUAGCUUUUGUGUUAGCACUGAUUCAGAUGGCCACUACCCACUCUGUGCAGCAGACUUUCAAGACCAAGCAGACUGAUAGGCAGGCAGGAGGGUGGAGUUCUCUACCUGCUGGAAUGCCCUGAGGCCCAGAGAAGGGAUGGACAGGGCAUCAGUGUCUCUCCCGUGUCUCUCUUGCCUUCAACCACUGACUCACCCAUGUUGUUUCUCACUUAAGUUAAAACACACAGAGGGGCUGUUCUUAGAGAAAGUCUAACUCGGCUGGGCGUAGUGGCUCACGCUUACAAUCCAGCACUUUGGGAGGCCGAGGCAGGCAGGUCAUCUGAGGUCAGGAGUUUCAGACCAGCCUGGCCAACAUGGUGAAACCCCGUCUCUACUAAAAAUACAAAAAUUAGCUGGGCAUGGUGGCGCACACCUGUAGUCCCAGCUAUUCAGGAGGCUGAGGCAGAGAAUCGCUUGAACCUGGCAGGCAGAGGUUGCAGUAAGCAGAGAUCACCAUUGCACUCUAGCCUAGGUAACAAGAUCGAAACUGUCUUAAAAAAAAAAAAGUCUAACUCUACUUUUGAUCAAAUUGUAUUCUUGCAAACAAUUUUGCAAGAAAUUGAUUGUCUCAUUUUGAUGCCAUGAUGACAUUUUGGGAAAUGUUUCCAAGUUGUUACAGUUUUCUAGCUGCCAGGACCUGGGUGCUUCCUGUGGCAGACAAAGGGUGACUCCGCGCAUAGGGUGCCAAGAGGGAGGGCUCCACUCCAUUCUGAACUUUUACACAUCAGCCUCCUGCAAGAUAAGCUUCCUGGUUUUCAUAUUACAACAUGAACCAAACCGCAGAGGUUAUGACUUCUCUGUGUUUUAAGCCCUGCCCACUUCCUGCUCACGUGCCUGGUCUGCAACGACCAUUUAUUUCAGGAUGUGAAGUCAAAAGCAAAGCCCAAACAAUAGUGAGCGGCUUCUGAGCCAAGCUCGUCAGCCUGCUAACCCACUCAGAACUGCCCCAUCUUCAACAUGAACAAGUGCUUCUGGAACAAAUACCAGCCAAUUUCACACAGUCCAGGCCUUUGACAUGAAAUACGGAUCAGCUCUACAUUUAUGCACGACAAUGUCGAUUUGUUAUCUGUUGGAGUGAUUGUAUACCUUCGGUGGUAGAACUGAGGUUCCCAGGGGAGCUAUUAAGAAAAAAGCUUUUCUGGCACGGGUGCGGUGGCUCACGCCUGUAAUCCCAGCACUUUGGGAGGCCAAGGCUGGUAGAUCACCUGAGGUCAGGAGUUCGAGGCCAGCCUGGCCAACAUGGUGAAACCCCAUCUCUACUAAAAAUACAAAAAUUAGUUGGGCGUGAUGGCGCAUGCCUGUAAUCCCAGCUACUUGGGAGGCUGAGGCAGGAGAAUUGCUUGAACCUGAGAGGCAGAGAUUGCAGUGAGCCAAGAUCGAGCCACUGCACUCCAGCCUGGGUGACAGAGCAAGACUCCAUCUCAAAAAAAAAGAAAGAAAGAAAGAAAGAGUUUUUCUGGCUAGGUGUGGUGGCUUAUGCCUGUAGUCUCAGCUACUUGGGAGGCUGAGGUGGGAGGAUUGCUUGAGCUGGGGGAGUUUGAGGCUGCAGUGAGCUAUCACACCACUGCACUCCAGCAUGGGUGACAGAGCAAGACCCUGUCUCGGGGGAGAAAAAAAAAUGCAAAUGCUUUCCUGACAGAACUAAGAGAGUUUGGAACUAGGGUUCUAUAAAGUCAGCCCUGGUGUGGGACUUCUGUUAUUACAGAGAGUACAGAAAGUGUCCUAAAAGGACAGCUGGGUGGCUGGGCAUGGUGGCUCACAUCUGUAAUCCCAGCACUUCGGGAGCAGAGGUAGGCGGAUCACCUGAGGUCAGGAGUUCGAGACCAGACUGGCCAACAUGGUGAAACCCUAUCUCUACUAAAAAUACAGAAUUAGCUUGGCAUGGUGGUGCAUGCCUGUAAUCCCAGCUACUUGGGAGGCUGAGGCAGGAGAAUCAUUUGAACCCAGGAGGUGGAGGUUGCAGUAAGCUGAGAUUGCACCAUGGCACUCCAACCUGGCCAAAAAGAGCGAAACUCCAUCUCAAAAAAAAAAAAAAAAAAAAAAAAAAAAAAGACAGCUGGCCAAACAGCAAUAGGCUGAUCAUGUGUAUUUAGCGCACAUGGGCACAGCCCAUGGCACCAAGGGGGACAUCGAGGUCACAGAUGAAAAGACUUGCUCUCAUAGUGCUUACAGUUUAUGAGCCAACAGCCACGUUAAGCAACAGCCUUCACUGGAUAUAUAAUUAGGGGUGGGGUAGACACUUUCUACACCAAAGACAACUCUUUAGGCUCCAGAUGGGAUUCCGGCUGCUCCUGACUGGUCUCUCUUAGUCCUUCAUACAUCACACACCGUGGACUCUGAGUUACACGCCACUGGUCUCUCUUCCCAGCUCAGCCACUCACUCCGUGUGUCAGCCGGAGCAGGUCAUUCAACCAUUCUUUCAGUUUCUUCACCUGUGGAAUGGGGAUAAAUGGACCUAUCUCACAAGGACAUUGAAAGGAUUAAUAGAGCGAUUGCAUGCAAAAUGCUGGCACCUAGUGGAGUUGUAAUCAGAGUAGAAAGACACUAUCAUGCGUCUCUGUAUUCCCAGAUACUGGCUGGCCUGCAGCGAGCCACAGCGUUACCAUGGGUGGGCCCGUGGGAAGGGGCAAGCAUUGACCUAACUCCUCACAUUUCCUUAUUUUUCUCUCCCCUCUGUUAUAUCCUUUCUAAAUAGUCAUUCCAGGAUAUACAACUCCCUGCCCCUGAACACUUCUGUGGGGUGGCCUGGCUGAGAGCCCAGAUUCCCAGGAGAGCCCUGCACGCAGCCAGCUCUCUGUCGCCCCCCUCUCAGGAGAGGCAGGUGGGCAGACCCUGAAACCUAACAGUCCUGAAACGCGCUGAGCAUGUCCACGUUACCACAGCAGCCAGGUCACCUCUCCAGGGUGGCAUCUUUUCUGCCUCCAUUCUUCUUCUUCCUUACCAUUUUUUUUUGGCCCUCCGUGUGUGUGUGUGUGUGUGUGUGUGUGUGUGUGUGUGUGUGUGUGUGUUUUGAGAUAGAGUCUUGCUCUGUUGCCCAGGCUGGAGUGCAGUGGCGUGAUCUCAGCUCACUGCAACAUCUGCCUCCCGGGUUCACAGGAUUCUCCUGCCUCAGCCUCCUGAGUAGCUGGGAUUACAGGUGCCUGCUACCAUGCCCAGCUAAUUUUUUGUAUUUUUAGUAGAGAUGGGGUUUUACUAUGUUGGCCAGAUGGGUCUUGAACUCCUGACCUCGUGAUCUGCCCGUCUCGGCCUCCCAAAGUCCUGGAAUUACAGGUGUGAGCCAGCUCAUGUGUUUGUUUUAUGCAUCCAAUAAAUCAUGAGAAGGACAAAAAGACCACUAUGGUGGGGAAAUAGUGCCUGUCUUCAGUUAGCAGUGAGAGGCCAGCAGGUAGGUCACACAGACAUGUGGCACCAGUUUUGAAGGGGGACAUGUAACACAAGUCUUUGUUAGCCAGGAUAAGUCCUUCUGCUGGCUGUGCCGGGCCUCACCUGCACCAGGAAGCCCUCACAGGGCUCUGGCAUCCAGCAGGGUGCUCUGUGCAGGUGUUUUGGAGAGCAUCAUGGUGGAGGGUGUUCCUCCUUCUGCAGAGGAGAAGGCACUCAUUCCCUGUGUCAACCGGAGCAGGUCAUUCAACCAUUCUUUCAGUUUCUUCACCUUCAGCAUGGCAAUUAAUGGCUCAGAGGAACCUCAGGAUAAAGUACCUCCUGAUCCUGUCAUGCCUGGAGUGAUUCCCGUACAAAUCAGUUUUUUUUUUUGUUGUUGUUGUUCUUUCUGUUUAGAGACUUGAAACAGAAAAAAAAAAUGGCCCAGAUAUUGUUUUAUUCUCUCUGAACUCCUUCAGGUGCAGAACAAACGGAAAGGGUUCCAGCCCCUUUGCUUUCAGUUUUAUCUGCACACAGUAAUGACAUUCUAGAAGGGUUCCUGAGCUGUGCACCAUCUGCCCAGGCCAAGAGCAGGACACGCAACUCAGACUUCUGCCUUGGAAGUGUAAAGCCUGCCCGGGAGUGUCCACCAACUUCCAACUACUUAAAAAAAUCCUCCAUUUUUUAUGUCUUUGCCUUAUCAUCCCUGCUUGUGGAUUAUAAAUUACUCUUUUCUUGAAAGAAAUAUAAACAGAAAUACCCCCUGCUGUAGCUGGCUGAGGCAGAGCCAGUAGAGGGAGCUCAGGGGCGUCAUCAAUUAUUAAUCCAUGGUAUUCAGAGUUUCUAACGUUUGCAAACAUUCAAAAAUGACCCAGGUCUUACCAAGAGGGAAUGAAAUUGUCAUGAAACAUGCCUGAGCCAAUGGCCUGACAAAGCAAGUUGAUUUCAACAUGGGCGUGGGUGGCAAUGUGAUCCUCAGGAGCCAUAAGUCCAAUUGCUGAACGUAGAUGCACGGAAAAAUGUUUUCUUGCUUUGCAAAGGACAAUCCAUGGAAGAGAAGACUCUGAAGCUCAGUUCUCUUCCACCUUGAAUUAUGCUGAGAUGAAAGCAACUUGAGGUAACAGCUUGCUUCUAUGUUAAUUAACUCCUGUUAAUAUUUUAUGUUUAAGCCAUCCUCAAACCGUAUUUUCCCUAGGAAAUCGGAAGAGUUCUUCAUUUGUUUGCAUGUUCCUUGGCCUGAAGAAAUUAACAACAUUUUGAACUAUAUUAUAUAUGAAGCCAUUUUAUGUUGUACUGAAAAAAAUGCAUGAUGCAAAUACAUUUAGACUCUUAGAGCAAUAAUUCUUAAUCUAGUGGAUGCAUGCUAAAUCAAAAUUUCAAUGGGGUUCUACAUGCUUUGGCUAAGCAUAUCUGAUAUAACUCAGUUGAUUAAAAAAUUUAGAAAUCAUAAUAUUUAUUUUAGUAAAAGAAGAUUGGUAGUAUCAAAGAUAAACAAGCCUGGAUACUCGGUAAGGACAGACUUUCAUCAGUAAUAUACUAUUAUUAUUGCAAUAGGGAAAAAAGUCCAGUGUGCUCCAAACUCAACUUCAAUGUGUACAGAGAUGAUGGCAUUUUAAAGGGAGGAUGGGCUGAGUGCAGUGGCUCAUACCUGUAAUCCCAGCACUUUGGGAGGCUGAGGCAGGCAGAUCACGAGUUCAGGAGUUCGAGACCAGCCUGGCCAACAUAGUGAAACCCUGUCUCUACUAAAAAUACAAAAAUUAGCCGGGUAUGGUGGCAUGCACCUGUGGUCCCAGCUACUUGGGAGGCUGAGGCAGGAGAAUCGCUUGAACCCGGGAGGCAGAGGUUGCAGUGAGCUGAGACGGCGCUAUUGCACUCCAGCCUGGGUGACAGAGCAAGACUCUGUCUCAGAAAAAAAAAGGGAGGAUGAGGGAAUAGGGAGUGGGUGAGCAGGGGCUCAAGAGGGUCUGUGAAAAAAAUUAUAAAAUGCAGGAAGUGGGGGUUGGUCCAUGUGCAACCCAUCUGUUUACUUACUGGUGCUUAUGGAAGUUAGGCUCCUACCCUCCCACAGAGGCAGGGAGAUGGGGGCCUUGUCUUCAGGUGUUGGCUGGAACCAACAGUAAAUUCCCUGGGCAGCCUCGAGUUUUCUCAGGCAGGCAUUCUAAGAGGGGCUAGGGCCAUCCUAGGGAAGGCCCUUGAGCUGUUAGAAACUAUGCUAGCAUUUGAUCAAGUCUUUUUUUUGAGACAGAGUCUCGCUCUGGCAGUUGCCCAGGCUGGAGUGCAGUGGCAUGAUCUCAGCUCACUACAACCUCCGCCUCCCAGGUUCAAGCAAUUCUCAUGCCUUAGCCUCCAAGUAGUUGGGAAUACAGGCAUGCUCCACCACGCCUGGCUAAUUUCUGUAUUUUUAGUAGAGACGGGGUUUCACCAUGUUGGCCAGGCCGCUCUCAAACUCCUGACCUCAGGUGAUCCACCUACCUUGGCCUCCCAAAGUGCUGGGAUUAGGGCGUGAGCCACCACACCCGGCCUGAUCAAGUCUUUAUAGUCCAAGGAUAGCACUUAGUUGAGAAGAGGGCUGAGAGGAGCCUGGGUGGAGUUUUGUUAAGGAGAGAAUUUUUGUAAGUAGUAUUUAUCGUUGGUUUGAGUAGGUAUUAAUGAGCAAAGUAUUUUCAAAGUAACUGACAGGAAUUUAUGUUGUCCUUUUGAGUGUAAUAAAGAGGACUAAUUAUUAAUGGGAAUCCCUAAUCUGACUUUAUGAUUUGAAAACCUUAAGAAGGGAGCGAUAUCCUGUUAAAUUCAUGUUCAGUGCUGAAGAAUUUUUUCCAGAAGCUCAUACAUUAUCCAGCAGGCACAAGGACAGCUGAAGUAUGUUUAAGGAUAUGGCACUUCUUUUUAAAAAUGAACACAAAGGGAUCUGACUAGCCUGCCUUGGCCAGGAGGAGGAGCCCCCUUCUGGCAGGCCUAGCAAAGGAGAUGUGGGAACUGGGCAUCUUUCCUUCUGGUCAGGAUGGGAGUUCUGGCCUUGACUUACGGAGCAAUAGGAGUUCUCUAUAGGACCAGGAAGAUGAAUACACAAAACAUCAGUAAAAGUAAAAUAGAAAAAAGAAGUAGAACUUUUUUUUAAAAAGGGAGGAACUAUAUAUUUGCAGAAAUGACAUUUUUGAAUAACAGAAUAACACAGACCAGGUAAUUUAUAAUGAACAGCACUAAAUGCCUGCCUCUGGUGAGGGCCUUCUUGCUGUGUCACUCCAUGGCCAGAAGGUGGAAGGGCCAAGAGAUGAAAGGGGGCUGACCCUGCCCUUUUAUAAUGGCAGUAAUGCCGCCCAUGAGGGUGCAGCCCUCAUGGCCUGAUCACCUCUUAAAGGUCCCACCUCUCAACAUUGUUACGAUGCCAACUAAAUUUCAAAUGAAUUUUGGCGAAGACAAACAUUCAAACCAUAGGACUAAGUAAAUAAAAACCAUAUCUGUAUAGUCAAAUAGGAUUAAAGUAGACCUAAAAAUGGCAUUGUGUUUGGCAAUAUGACUUACCGUGGAGAAUGACUGGGAACUGUCAAUUCAGAGUAACAUGACUUGCUUUGCUACAGCAGUGAAAUUUCUGGGAUCCUAGCCUCUUGUAUCUAAAGUAAGCAAGCAAAAUAUCAUCAGCAACUUAGUAUGAAUAUAUAGUUUUUUUCUGCUGAAAUACUCAUGCCAAUUAAUACUUACAGUUGUUGAAUAACUAUCAAGCCAACUCUGUACAACUUUCAAAUAAAUCUACGUUGCAAUUAUAUGUCAUCUGUUUAAAAGGAUAAAAUAUUGAUAUUUUUAGUCAUUUAUGUAGGUGUGUGUUAUGACUAAAAUGAUUCAAUACACUACUGUGCUCCAAAUAGGUUUUAUGUUGUACCUCUUGCUCAAGUAAAAUGAAAAAAUUUAAAACAAUUAUGCAAAUUUGGUUUUAAAUAUUCAUCUCAAAUAUUUUAUAUUUUAUUCCCCUUAAAUGUGUUUUAAACAGAUUUAAUCACAUUGGGUACUGUACUAAGUGUACUACAAAGAUUACAGUGAUCCUGCCCUUGAUAUCAUACCUACAAGUGAAUAUUCUAAGAUAGUCCCUGGAAAGGAAGACAUAAAGACAGUCCUACAGAAUCCAGAAUAGGUAUCAGAAUUAAAAUAGACCAGCCAUGGAAGAAAGAAUCAAAGGGUGAGAGACAAGGACAAGUUCACAUGCAUGGUGCUCUUUGAGAGAGCAGGGAUGAGUGUUCUUUGCUCCAGAAAUGUAGACAAAACGCCCACAAGCUAUAUUCUCAUUAGCCUGGGAUGUCUCCAGCUGACAUUGACAGUGGGAUCAUGUAAUAUGAAUUGUGUGUGGCGACCGGAAGUCAAUGGCUAAGGGAGCUAAGAGGCUGCUUGGGGACCCUAAUGGGUUUGGAGGGUAGAAAGAACAUAUGCUUUGGAAUCCAGAGAACUGGGUUAGAAUUUCUUUUCCAGCCCCAAUUUGGUGGGUGCGCUGUAUUGCAACUUUGCUGACCUGAGUCUCAGUUUCCUCGUCCUGAAAGAGGGGGUGAUGCCUAUUUUGUUGAGUUGAUUUGAGCCAUAAAUAAGGUAAGGACUGGUAAGUGACACAGAACAGGGCCUCAUUAGAAAUGAGUCCCCUUCCCUCUCCUUCUCUUUCUCCAUUGUUCUGAUGCCAACUGUAGUUGCUACACACUUUUCCUAAAGGGUAUGGUGUAGUUUUGUUGAUAGAGUGGGAGCAAUUGCUGAACAGACAUGAAGUGCUAAACAUUAACACUGAUGGGCUGAGCCUUAUCUUGUCCAGAAGGGAAGCAACAUGGUAAUUACAUGUUACCUAGAUGGUACUUUCUGUUCCACAAUUGAGCCCCCGUCUGCCUCUGAAUGUAGACUUUGGGUGGGAGGUGGGGAAGAAGGCUGCCCUCUGGGACUCGCAGUUUUAGCAACCAUGCCAAAACAAGCCAUGCACCUGUGUUCCCUGUAGGUUUUAAAAAGAAACAUUUAGUUACAUAUUCUGAAUUAAGAGAGAUGGUGGCAACCCAGGUGGAGAAAAGGGUAUUUAAGCACAGCAGAGUCCCCACCAUGGGGCUGUGAGCCUGUGGCAGACAGCAAGAGAGACACCGAAGAUAGGCUUCCGCACCUCUCCAGCCGGUGGGAACAGUCAGUGCCAGCGGAGGCUUUAUCUCUUCUUGCCUCAGUCCAGCCUGUGGCAGCUCAGUAACUGGAACAAGAGCGUUUACUACCUUCUGACCUUUAGGAGAACAUAUAUGACACAGUUUCAUGAUGAACACAUUCAUUUACUUAAUGGGGAGAGAUACAAGGAGAAAUUAAAUAUACUUCCUGCCUGGGAGGAGUGCAGAUGCCCAUAACAUGGGAAGGCAGUGACAGAUGUAUGUGGGGACUGCCCUAGGAAGUUUUGCUGGGGAUGAGCAAGAACAGGCCACUCUCAAAAGAAGGGGGAGGCAUUCCAAGCAACAAGAGAGGAAAAGGCUUAUCUGAGGACUCAUCAGAAAUUUGGUAGAACUGAGGGUGGAGGGGGUGGGAAAGAGAAGGCAGGUGCUGGAAAGAGAAGAGGAUGUUGAGCCUACCAGAAAUCCAUUAGGGUGAGUUUUUGAAGGCCUUGUCUGUGUCAUGUUACUAAGUUUGAUUUUUUUUUCCUGCAGAUAAAUAUUUCAGGACUCUCUACCUAUCCAAACGCAUUUUAGGCGAAUUUUAAAAAACAGUUAUUAAUUAGCAAACAUUAAAAUAAAUGUGAAUAAUAAUCACUUCCUGAACAGUCCAAGGACCUUUAAGUUUUAAGAUUAAUCCAGCGGGUUAGAUUUUUCAGUUAGAGUAGCAUGGAAGAAAAGACGAAGUUACGUCUUUUAUGUUGAAGUGUGCACUACAGGAUGAUUCAAAGGAUUUAGGCGGUUAGAGAAAAAACAACAAACGCAUUAAAACAUUAUUGACACAUCUGCUACUGAAAACACUCUUUCAUCUAUUUAUAGUUGACUAAAAAUGGUGACUUAACGAACUUGAAAUAAAAUGAUUACACUAAGGGUUAUGAUUGCCUGAUAUGUUCUAACAGGUAUAUAGCAUUUAAUCCUCACAAUUACCUAGUGUACCUUGUGCAGAAUGGGUACACUUUUUUGUUUUUUUUUUUUUGAGACAGAGUUUCACUCUUGUCGUCCAGACUGGAGUGCAGUGGAGGGAUCUUGGCUCACUGCAACCUCUGCUUCCCGGGUUCAAGCAAUUCUCCUGCUUCAGUCUCCCAAGUAGCUGGGAUUACAGGCAUGUACCACCACGCCUGGCUAAUUUUUGUAUUUUUAGUAGAGACGGGGUUUCGCCAUGUUAGCCAGGCUGGCCAAACUCCUGACCUCAAGUGAUCUGCCUGCUUUGGCCUCCCAAAGUGCUGGGAUUACAGGUGUGAGCCACCGCACCUGGCCAGAAUGGGUACUUUUUAUCCCCAUUUUACAGAUGAGGAAAUCAGGACCUGGAUAACUUGCUGGAUAAGGGCUGAGUGGCAGCCCUGGAGCUUCAGACACUGCAUUCCUGGCCCAGUGUCACUUCCAUGGUCACUCUAUGCCCUUUAGUUGAGGUAGGAGGAUCUUUUGAUAGAUCGAAUGAUAUUGACAUCAUUCUCAUAGUUUUUUCCUAUUAUGAGCUGUUACUCCACCCCAGCCAGGCUGGUCUUCACUAAUUUCUCCUUGUACUGAGUGUUGGAUCAAUCUUAGAAUUGUCUCCCUCCUUCUCUCCACCUAAUCAAUCGAUCACCAAAUCAAUCAAUUAAUUCAACAAAUAGUCACCUAUUAUGUGCCAAGAACUAUCAACAAAAGCAACAUAGACCUGGUUUCACUAGAAUUAUAAUCUAGUAAAUUCUGGUACUGAAUUCUGUUCCUCUUUCUGGCUGGCAAUAAGUAACGUAAAUCAAGGUUGCAUGUGCUUAUGCAUCUGACCGUCUUGCUAACGCAGGUGCCUGCUCUAGAACCUAUGAUGAGAACAUAUGCUUUGGAGUCCGGAAAAACUUGGUUUGAAGCACAGCUUGCCACACACUGUGUGAUCUUUCUGAUUCUCAGUGUCCUCAUUCAGUUUAAAUGUCCUUUACCCUUAGUUUUAAUUCUUUAUUAUUAUUUUUUAAAAAGUAAAUUUCCUUAGAAGUUUUCAGAAUACAUUAAUUCUACAGCCAGUAAAGAAAUAGUUUUCCAAAACAAGAGAGCACACUUUGCCAGAGCAGUUAAUCUCAUGAUGCUCUGGCCAGAGAGGAGGAGAAGGCUGUAUGGUGGCAGCCACUCCCAUCCCUGACAGCCCCCUCUCCCUACCCCCCUACCUCUUGGCCAGUCUCUUCAGCCUGGCCAGCAGGUAUGGACUCUUAUUAAUCUAAGGCUCAACAUAUCAUCAGUCCUUUGGGAAGACACUCGGGUGCUGCACAAGCUUCAGAACAGCUUUCUAGUAUUCCUUUCUAUAAAUCAAGUAAGUGGUUUAAAGCCUCAGAUAGGAAACCGUGAAGGAAAAUAAAUCAUUACGGUCACCAUGACCUAUCUUUUCGCCAGAGGUUCUCCAACUGGAGCCUGCUUCUAUCAGAAUCCUCUGGAGAGCUGGAUGGCUGAGCCCACCCCAAGCUUCAAGCUUCAGGAGCGGACCUGAGAAGCUGCAUUUCUUUCUUUCUUUUUCUUCCUUUCUUUCAGAUGGAGUUUUGCUCUAUCGCCUAGGCUGGAGUGCAGCAGCACAAUCUCGGCUCACUGCAACCUCCGCCUCCUGGGUUUAGGUGAUUCUUCUGCCUCAGCCUCCUGAGUAGCUGGGAUUACAGGCAUGCACCACCAUGCCCAGCUAAUUUUUGUAUUUUUAUUAGAGAUGGGGUUUUGUCAUGUUGGCCAGGCUGGUCUUGAACUUCUGACCUUAAGUGAUCCGCCCACUUCGGCCUCCCAAAGUGCUGGGAUUACAGGCAUGACGCACCGCACCCAGCCAGAAGCUGCAUUUCUAACAAGCCCCCAGGAGAAGCUCUGCUGCUGAGCAGGGACCAUACCUUGAGAACUCCUGCACUUUGCUAGUUGGUUUGGGAGACAAUGGAAUCACACUGCCUUGGAUAAGUCUGGGGAAGUAUUAACCUCCCCAUACCUCCUCAGUUUCUUCAGCUAUAAGAUCACCUACCUGGGACAGCUUUUAUGAGGGUAAAUCAGUUAGAACACAGGGAGCACUUUGAGCAACAGCUGGGGGCGAAGUAAAAACUGAACAAAGAUUAUUUAUCAUUAUUAUUACCUCAUAUCCUGCUGCUGUUUUCCCUCUAUCAACAAGUCAUUAAAGCACACAUAUCCCACAUCUUCUAAGUUCCUCCACUGAAGCAGUAUACUUGCUCCAUCUAUUCAAAUAGUUUCCCCUUCUAAUUUAUGUAUUAACAAAUAAAUGUUUAAUAUUGAGAAUGUUUAAAUAGGCUUGGGCAUCGUGGCUCAUGCCUGUAAGCCCAGUGUGUCCAGAAUUGGUGGGUUCUUGGUCUCACUGACUUCAAGAAUGAAGCCGCGGACCCUCACGGUGAGUGUUACAGUUCUUAAAGGUGGCGUGUCCAGAAUUUGUUCCUUCGGAUGUUCAGAUGUGUUCAGACUUUUCUUCCUUCUGGUGGGUUUGUGGUCUCACUGGCUCAGGAGUGAAGCUGCAGACCUUCACAGUGAGUGUCACAACUCAUAAACGCAAUGCAGAUGCAGAGUGAGCAGCAGCAAGACUUACUGCAAACAGCAAAAGAACAAAGUUUCCACAAAGUGGAAAGACACCUGAGCAUCUUGCCACUGCUGGCUUGGGCAGCCUGCUUUUAUUCCCUUAUCUGGCCCCACCCACAUCCUGCUGAUUGGUCCAUUUUACAGAGAGCUGAUUGGUCUGUUUUGACAGGGUGCUGAUUGGUAUGUUUACAAUCCCUGAGCUAGACACAAAAGUUCUCAAAGUCCCCACUAGAUUAACUAGACACAGAGCACUGAUUGGUGCAUUCACAAACCCUGAGCUAGACACAGGGUGCUGAUUGGUGCAUUUACAAACCUUGAGCUGGACACAGAGUGCUGAUUGGUGUAUUUACAAUCCCUUAGCUAGACAUAAAGGUUCUCCAAGUCCCUGCUAGAUUAGCUAGACACAGAGCACUGAUUGGUGCACUUACAAACCUUGAGCUAGACACAGGGGGCUGAUUGGUGUGUUCACAAACCCUGAGCAAGACACAGAGUGCUGACUGGUGUAUUUACAAUCCCUUAGCUAGACAUAAAGUUUCUCCAAGUCCCCACCAGAUUAGCUAGAUACACAGUGCUGAUUGGUGCAUUUACAAACCUUGAGCUAGACACAGAGUGCUGAUUGGUGUAUUUACAAUCCCUUAGCUAGACAUAAAGGUUCUCCAAGUCCCCGCUAGACCCAGGAGCCCAGCUGGCUUCACCUAGUGGAUCCUGCAUCAGGGAGCCCGCCAGUCCCACGACCUGUGCCCACACUACUCCUCAGCCCUUGGGCGGUCGGAAUGGGACCGGGCGCGUGGAGCAGGGGGCAGCGCUCAUCUGGGAGGCUCAGGCCGCUCAGGAGCCCAUGGUGUGGGGGAGGCUCAGGCAUGGCAGGCUGCAGGUCCCCAGCCUUUCCCUGCGGGGAGGCAGCUGAGGUCCAGCGAGAAUUCCAGCACAGCGCUGGUGGGCCAGGCCGGCACUGCUGGGAGACCCAGCGCAUCCUCCGCAGCUGCUGGCCUGGGUACUAAGCCCCUCACUGCCUGGGGCCUGCGGAACCGGCCAGCCGCUCCGAGUGCGGGGCCUGCCGAGCCCACGCCCACCUGGAACUUGCACUGGCCUGCAAGCCCAGUGCUCAGCCCUGGUUCCCACCCACGCCUGUCCCUCCACACCUCCCCGCAAGGUGAGGGAGCCCGCUCCGGCCUCGGCCAGCCCAGAGAGGGGCUCCCACAGUGCAGUGGCAGGCUGAAGGGCUCCUCAAGAGCGGCCAGAGUGGGCGCCGAGGCCGAGGAGGUGCAGAGAGUGAGCGAGGGCUGCUAGGGCUGCCAGCACGCUGUCACCUCUCACCAGCACUUUGGGAGGCCGAGGUGGGUAGAUCACUUGCAGUCAGGAGUUGGAGACUAGCCUGGCCAACACGGCCAAACCCCAUCUCUUCUAAAAAUACAAAAAUUAGCUGGGCAUGGUGGCGUGCACCUGUAAUCCCAGCUACUCGGGGCUGAGGUGAGAAGAUUGCUUGAACCCAGGAGGCACAGGCAGUAGUGACCCAAGAUCGUGUCAUUGCGCUCCAGCCUGGGUGACAGAGGGAGACACCAUCUCAAAAAAAAAAAAAAAAAAAAAAAAGAGGAUAAGUGCUGCAAACAUACAUAUAGUAUGUAGAAGAAGUUUCAAAUAAUUUUUAAAUUGCUAUUGAGAUGGACAUAAUGCAUCAUGUUAAUUGUGAGCUCCAUUUCUGUGUGAAUAGAAACCAUAUCAAACAUCAUCAGUAGAAAUGUGUUUUUAUCGGACAGCUUUUGAGGUACCUCUACCUUAUGAAUAAAGGCUUUCUGCAGUUUGCAGCAUACAGAAGUUUGUUCCUUAUGUAACAGUACCAAAAGAAUCCAACUGGAUCUCACGCCACGUGAAACUUUACCUACACGUCUUUCCUGAAAGAGAUGUUUCAAUCCUGGGAACCGAGAUCCUCUGGAGACCAGAGCCAAAUAACUGCCACAUUGGAAUGCAUUCCGCUGGGGGUUCCUGUAUUUUAUAUAUGAAAGCUUCCUGGCCGCAUGUGUGUUUUGGUUGGCUUUAGUGGCAGGACUGAAGGGUUUUGCUUUGCUUUUGUUAUGUGAAUGGGGAAAGGGGCUUUGCCACUCAUGGCCUCAUUAACAACAAUGGUGCCAAGAUGCGGACUUUUAAGUGACUUUUACUUUAUAGAUUCUGAAAACCCACAACUUGCUAGUUGUGAGUGACAAGCAUCUUUCUGAGAACUUUCUGAAAAUUCCCCACUUCCAAGUUUACACAGCCUUUAGUAGACUUAAAAAAGAAGAGAAAAAUACCAAACAGUUCCUUUGUUGAGAAAGCAGCC